GACGAACGCUGGCGGCGUGCCUAAUACAUGCAAGUAGAACGCUGAAGGAGGAGCUUGCUUCUCUGGAUGAGUUGCGAACGGGUGAGUAACGCGUAGGUAACCUGCCUGGUAGCGGGGGAUAACUAUUGGAAACGAUAGCUAAUACCGCAUAAUAGUAGAUGUUGCAUGACAUUUGCUUAAAAGGUGCAAUUGCAUCACUACCAGAUGGACCUGCGUUGUAUUAGCUAGUUGGUGGGGUAACGGCUCACCCAGGCGACGAUACAUAGCCGACCUGAGAGGGGGAUCGGCCACACUGGGACUGGGACACGGCCCCGACUCCUACGGGAGGCAGCAGUAGGGAAUCUUCGGCAAAGGACGGAAGUCUGACCGAGCAACGCCGCGUGAGUGAAGAAGGUUUUCGGAUCGUAAAGCUCUGUUGUAAGGGAAGAACGAGUGUGAGAGUGAAAAGUUCACACUGUGACGGUAUCUUACCAGAAAGGGACGGCUAACUACGUG
rnacentral:rRNA from 1 species